UGUAUGUUAAACGAGAAGACUUCAGAUAUGAUCCAGAGUACCACGGGACACGUGAAACCCUGUGGGAAGCAGGAGGGACCACCCUCCAAGGCUAAAUACUACCUAGUGACCGAUAGCGUAUAGUACCGUGAGGGAAAGGUGAAAAGAACCCCGGGAGGGGAGUGAAAUAGAACCUGAAACCCUGCACUUACAAGCUGUGGAAGCACAUUUCUUGUGUGACCGCGUACUUUUUGUAGAACGGGCCAACGAGUUACGUUAAGUAG
rnacentral:rRNA from 1 species